ACCUACGGCCACACUGGACUGAAAGCACCCAAUCUCGGAAGCUAAGCGGUCCCAGGCCUGGCUAGUACAUGGAUGGGAGACCGCCUGGGAAUCCUGGGUGCAGUAGGCU
rnacentral:rRNA from 1 species